rnacentral:rRNA from 1 species
GUGUCAGCAGCCGCGGUAAUACGUAGGGUGCGAGCGUUAAUCGGAAUUACUGGGCGUAAAGGGUGCGCAGGCGGUUGUACAAGACGGAUGUGAAAUCCCCGGGCUUAACCUGGGAAUGGCAUUCGUGACUGUACAGCUAGAGUGUGUUAGAGGGGGGUAGAAUUCCACGUGUAGCAGUGAAAUGCGUAGAUAUGUGGAGGAAUACCGAUGGCGAAGGCAGCCCCCUGGGAUAACACUGACGCUCAUGCACGAAAGCGUGGGGAGCAAACAGGAUUAGAUACCCCGGUAGUCC